rnacentral:tRNA from 1 species
GGGGAUAUAGCUCAGUUGGUCGAGUGCUUGUGUUGCACACACAAAGGCCCUGGGUUCAAUCCCCAGCACCACCC